rnacentral:rRNA from 1 species
UGCAGUCGAGCGGUAAGGCCCUUCGGGGUACACGAGCGGCGAACGGGUGAGUAACACGUGAGCAACCUGCCCCUGACUCUGGGAUAAGCGGUGGAAACGCCGUCUAAUACCGGAUACGACACACCGCCUCAUGGCGUGUGUGUGGAAAGUUUUAUCGGUCAGGGAUGGGCUCGCGGCCUAUCAGCUAGUUGGUGGGGUAAAGGCCUACCAAGGCGAUUACGGGUAGCCGGCCUGAGAGGGCGACCGGCCACACUGGGACUGAGACACGGCCCAGACUCCUGCGGGAGGCAGCAGUGGGGAAUAUUGCACAAUGGGCGAAAGCCUGAUGCAGCGACGCCGCGUGGGGGAUGACGGCCUUCGGGUUGUAAACCUCUUUUACCACCAACGCAGGCUCCACGUACUCGUGGGGUUGACGGUAGGUGGGGAAUAAGGACCGGCUAACUACGUGCCAGCAGCCGCGGUAAUACGUAGGGUCCGAGCGUUGUCCGGAAUUAUUGGGCGUAAAGAGCUCGUAGGCGGCGUGUCACGUCUGCUGUGAAAGACCGGGGCUUAACUCCGGUUCUGCAGUGGAUACGGGCAUGCUAGAGGUAGGUAGGGGAGACUGGAAUUCCUGGUGUAGCGGUGAAAUGCGCAGAUAUCAGGAGGAACACCGGUGGCGAAGGCGGGUCUCUGGGCCUUACCUGACGCUGAGGAGCGAAAGCAUGGGGAGCGAACAGGAUUAGAUACCCUGGUAGUCCAUGCCGUAAACGUUGGGCGCUAGGUGUGGGGACUUUCCACGGUUUCCGCGCCGUAGCUAACGCAUUAAGCGCCCCGCCUGGGGAGUACGGCCGCAAGGCUAAAACUCAAAGGAAUUGACGGGGGCCCGCACAAGCGGCGGAGC